rnacentral:rRNA from 1 species
GCCCCUGAUGUGGUGGGGUUGUGAGGAACUCUUGCUGGCUUGUGUUGGACAAUAUUUGUCCACACAACGAAGGCUUUAAUGUUUUAAAGCGCCAGCAAAGGUGCUCUAUUUCAUUGCUGUGCCAGCUAAUGCGGCAAAACAGAGGGAAUUUCCUCAUUUCAGGAGGAGAAAAAAGGUACUUUUUUCCUGGUUCUUUUGAGGAAAUCGAGUAGUCUACGGUGUACUUGGAAUAGGAGAUUUAGCCUCCAGUGAAGAAUAAACCUCUUAGUCUUUAGGGUAAGCCGGCUUCCAUCCUAGUUCCUUGGUUUACCGAUAGACCGCUACACCUUACUUUCUCUUUUUGAAGUCCUGCAUGUCCCAUUUCUUCCUCAAGUUUCUUGAGGAAGUUUGGAGACAUGGGGCUGAGAAAGUUUAGACCAUGGGUAGCAAGAUAAAAUGAAAUGUUUAUCUUGUAACACUGGGCAGUAAUUAUGGUGGUAGCGGGCCAUGGUGAAAUUAGGAACUAAAGAAUUUGUUGCUCGUCACCUGGGUUGGUCAUAAGACCCUCCUGGCAAGUCGAAACACGGUAGGAGUUGGGGA